UCUGGAAAGAGAAAAAGGUGAACGAAAGCAAUUAAGAACGGCUGAUGCAAUGCCAGUGGAAGUACAUUUGUAUUGGAAACAGUGAUAACGGAAACUACCGGCAGGAAUAUAAUGCUCUUAAGAGUUUCACCUACAAUUGCCCUAGGUCUUGUCUUGGCUUCCCUUCCCCCGUUCAGCAAAAUUAAAUCUCACCCAAAUAAAUAUAUUAAGGUCGUCUGCCAAAAUUUGCCGGCCCGACUGUGUUUUGGUAACUUUUAUAGUGGUGUGGUAGUAGUUGUGGCCGGCGGACACAAGAAUCGCAUUAUGUAAGCAGCGUGUAGUCCAUGCGUAUUUUAUUUGUUCAGCAAUAAAUAAACAAACUGCGUAGUUUCAUUUCUUA